rnacentral:tRNA from 1 species
GGUUGGGUAUUUAAAUUACCCCCCUCUAAAAUAUAUUAAGUUGCAAACUUAAUUUUUGCUUUUUGCUUUAGAGUAGUGGCUU